rfam:Dipodomys ordii contig_27878, whole genome shotgun sequence.
GUGAAUGUGGCUCAGUGGUAGAGCGCUUGCCUUGUAUGCAGGAGGUUGUGGGUUCGAUUCCUCAGCACCACA